rnacentral:lncRNA from 1 species
AUGAUCAGAGUGUCUGUGUUGCUGGGAAACGGGGAGCUGUCCUGGGCUGCUCCUCAGUAUUUGUCUUUCAUUACAGAUCUUUCCUCCCUACUUGUGGAAAAGGAGUUUUACAGGAGAGAAAUGAAGAUGACUACAAAGAAAAGUCUUCCUCUGAGCUUUGGGAUUUUUUGCAGUUGGGUCUCAGGUCUGGCAGAUUAUUAUUAGGCUUCAGAACUCUGCUGCAGCUUGAUUUAUAGAAACUGCUUAGUCACUGGCAGCAGUGCUGUUCUGGGAGUGGGAGAGAUGCUCGCUGGUGUUUCAUCAGAGGCUCCUGCCAAGAAGCAGACACUGCCCUUGACAGAUCAUUGAGAGCUGGUGAGUGUUUCCCUCUCAUGUAGAACUUCUGGAAGAGCUGCAAACCAAACCAAACUCCUUCUCUGCCAAGAGCAGGGGUGAAAAAACUCAAGGCUCAAUUAAUGCAUCCCCUCCAAUCCUUUUGGGCACAUUUAUGUUGCCCUUUGCGUGGAAAGCAGCCUUCUGGUUUGCUGUGCACAUUGCUGGGAGCACUGCUCUGGAUUUUGGGGAGGUGGAGCUCCUGUGGAAUUGGGGUUUAGGCUUUGGAAGGAGCCUUCUGAUGGGACAGAAGUAGUCAGCAAUGUGGGAAGGAGCCAGGUUGGAAUGGGAGGUGGGGGAGCUCAGCAGGUCCAGGCACCAGAGCACUGAAGAGCACAUCCAAAAUUAAACACAGGGAGAGGGUGCCUGCUGCUUCAUGACAUUAAUGAGGGUGAUGGUUUCUGUGACCCCACUCAAGGAGCAAAUGCUCUGAACAGAAGCUGCAGGACAGGCCAUUACAUGAAGGGUGCUUUCCCUGGGUUGUACAUGCACCAGGGCAUAGUAAAUGCUAAUAAUUUACAACCCUCUGAACAAACCAAAUUACAAACCUGUUUCUUUUAGUUAUUUGCUGAGUAAUGACUAUGCUGAGCUCUUUAUAAAAAGUGUAGACAAAAAUCAGAGUCCUCAGCCCUGUAUAUCCUGAACAGGUAGGGAGUGAUGCCGUGUUCACCACUGCUUCAGUCAAACUGCAUCAUCCCCAGUGCUGGUGCUCCAGCAGCUGCAGGUCUGGCCCUCCAGAGCCCUUUGAAACCUGCAACUGAAUUGACCUGAAAAUAAAACAAUACUUAUCAAACA